UCCCCCUCCUCGUGUGUGUGCAGAGUCUGGCCUUUCCUUGAUUUGCUAAAGAACCAGGAUUGCUCUUCUCAGUGGCAAAUAAGGCAGAAUUCAAAAUGACUCAAAUCAUCCAGAAGAAGGAAUGAGAGAGUGGACAAACAAAAAUCAUAGAGGGAAACAGAAAGACGUUCAGAACUCUUCAUAAAUCCAGCCCAAGCACACUAGUGACUGCAGCACGCUUGUGAGUGGGUGAAACGCCCUGUCAAAAGGCUGAGACCGCCGGAAUGAGGGAAGGAAAAAGCAGGAUUUAAUCACAGGCUAUGUGAGGACCUAUUUUAAUACAAAGACAUACACUGGUUGGCAGUAAAUGAGCAGAGGAGAGAUAUACCACGAAAACAGCAAGUGUAGCAAGGCUGGAGUUGUCACAUUAACAUCAGGCACGGAGAAGGCGAUGGCACCCACUCCAGUGCUCUUGCCUGGAAAAUCCCAUGACGGAGGAGCCUGGAAGGCUGCAGUCCAUGGAGUCGCUGAGGGUCGGACUCAACUGAGUGACUUCACUUUCACUUUUCACUUUCAUGCAUUGGAGAAGGAAAUGGCAACCCGUUCCAGUGUUCUUGCCUGGAGAAUCCCAGGGAUGGUGGAGCCUGGUGGGCUGCCGUCUGUGGGGUCGCACAGAGUCGAACACGACUGAAGUGACUUAGCAGCAGCAGAAUACACUUGGAGACAAGGAGUGUCGAGAGACAGAGAAGGACGUCUUGUGCUGCUGAAAGGGUCAGUUCAUUGGGAAGACACACCUGUUACUGCGUGUGUGCCUGAGGACAGGCCCUCAGAGUACAUGAAGCCAGUGGGACUUACAGAAGUGAUGGGUGAGGAUGCAAGUAACUCAUUUCCACCAAAAAAAAAAAGUGUGAAACUGGACAAAAUUGCCCAAAUGAACCAAGACAUGGCACGCAGAAUCAACCGGAGAUGGACCACAAGUUGGCAAGCGCUCGCUCCUGAAGAAGCGACGUCUCCAGGGAGACACAUGCACCUGUGGUCUCACCAGGGCUCUUCCAGGCCCACCACACAACGGGAGCUGGGAGGGUGUGCCCCCCGUGCAGGGCGGCUGCCGGCCGUCAGCGGAGGGCCCAGAAGGGGCAGGCUCCGGCGAAAAGCUGUGGCUCACCAGACAUAAUGAUUUGCUGUUCUGACAUCAGAUCAACAGAGAGAAAUUCCAAUUAGGCUUUGAAGACGCACAUAUUUCAGGAACUUGUCAUCCAGCCCUUGGAUCUUGCUGCUGCUGCUGCUGCUAAGUCACUUCAGUCAUUUCCGACUCUGUGCGACCCCAUAAAUGGCAGCCCACCAGGCUCCACCAUCCCUGGGAUUCUCCAGGCAAGAGCACUGGAGUGUGUUGCCAUUUCCUUCUCCAAUGCAUGAAAGUGAAAAGUCAAAGUGAAGUCGCUCAGUGGUGUCCGACUCUUUGCGACCCCACGGACUGCAGCCCACGAGGCUCCUCCAUCAAUGGGAUUUUCCAGGCAAGAGUACUGGAGUGGGGUGCCAUUGCCUUCUCCGAACAGGGAUGAAACAUCCUUUUUUGGAUACAAAAUUCCAUCCUGCCCUCAUCCCUACCCAUUUGACCGUGCGUUUACCAAUGUGAACGUCCCAGUUCAUCCACCAUCUGGUGAACUGUUCACUCUGUUGUCUGGGGGUGACUGGGAAUACGUUGAUUCCGUUGGUAGAAGGUUUGAACAACUUUUUCGAGAUUCCCCAAGUAUAAGAAGAGCCGUCAUGAGGCGUGAAGAAGGUGGAGGUGUGCAGUGGAGAGGCUGUCCUGGGAGCUGGGGCCGUGUCUGCGGUGUCUGGCCUGAGGUCGGCACGGGGUGCUGGCCACUGGUCUUUGAGACCUGGAACCUGCCUCCAGGGUUGGGGGCCGGACACACGUCUCGGGUCAGGUUGAAGGUAACAGUGGCUCCUGCCUGUCCCCCUUGCCCUCCGCCCUAUUCCAUCACCCCAGGCACCAUCACUAGGCUUGACUUAGGGAGUAGAUGGGCUCCAGAUUGGAUUCCCGUUUGCAUUUGUCGGGGCACCAAGUGGGCUUCAGGCUGGAUACUUAGAGCUACCAGCG
ensembl:lncRNA